rnacentral:rRNA from 1 species
GACGAACGCUGGCGGCGUGCUUAACACAUGCAAGUCGAACGGUAAGGCCCUUCGGGGUACACGAGUGGCGAACGGGUGAGUAACACGUGGGUGAUCUGCCCUGCACUUCGGGAUAAGCCUGGGAAACUGGGUCUAAUACCGGAUAGGACCACUGCCUGCAUGGGUGGUGGUGGAAAGCUUUUGCGGUGUGGGAUGGGCCCGCGGCCUAUCAGCUUGUUGGUGGGGUGAUGGCCUACCAAGGCGACGACGGGUAGCCGGCCUGGGCGGGUGACCGGCCACACUGGGACUGAGAUACUGCCCAGACUCAUACGGGAGGCAGCAGUGGGGAAUAUUGCACAAUGGGCGCAAGCCUGAUGCAGCGACGCCGCGUGAGGGAUGACGGCCUUCGGGUUGUAAACCUCUUUCAGCACCGACGAAGCGCAAGUGACGGUAGGUGCAGAAGAAGGACCGGCCAACUACGUGCCAGCAGCCGCCGUAA